AUUGAACGCUGGCGGCAUGCCUUACACAUGCAAGUCGAACGGUAACAGGUUAAGCUGACGAGUGGCGAACGGGUGAGUAACACAUCGGAACGUGCCCAAUCGUGGGGGAUAACGUAGCGAAAGCUACGCUAAUACCGCAUACGAUCUACGGAUGAAAGCGGGGGAUCGCAAGACCUCGCGCGAAUGGAGCGGCCGAUGGCAGAUUAGGUAGUUGGUGGGGUAAAGGCUCACCAAGCCGACGAUCUGUAGCUGGUCUGAGAGGACGACCAGCCACACUGGGACUGAGACACGGCCCAGACUCCUACGGGAGGCAGCAGUGGGGAAUUUUGGACAAUGGGCGCAAGCCUGAUCCAGCCAUGCCGCGUGU
rnacentral:rRNA from 1 species